rnacentral:rRNA from 1 species
ACACUCCUACGGGAGGCAGCAGUGGGGAAUAUUGGACAAUGGGCGCAAGCCUGAUCCAUCCAUGCCGCGUGAGUGAUGAAGGCCCUAGGGUUGUAAAGCUCUUUCACCGGUGAAGAUAAUGACGGUAACCGGAGAAGAAGCCCCGGCUAACUUCGUGCCAGCAGCCGCGGUAAUACGAAGGGGGCUAGCGUUGUUCGGAUUUACUGGGCGUAAAGCGCACGUAGGCGGACUAUUAAGUCAGGGGUGAAAUCCCGGGGCUCAACCCCGGAACUGCCUUUGAUACUGGUAGUCUUGAGUUCGAGAGAGGUGAGUGGAAUUCCGAGUGUAGAGGUGAAAUUCGUAGAUAUUCGGAGGAACACCAGUGGCGAAGGCGGCUCACUGGCUCGAUACUGACGCUGAGGUGCGAAAGCGUGGGGAGCAAACAGGAUUAGAAACCCUUGUAGUCCCAU